rnacentral:rRNA from 1 species
UACGUAGGGGGCUAGCGUUGUCCGGAAUCAUUGGGCGUAAAGAGCGUGUAGGCGGCCCGGUAAGUCCGCUGUAAAAGUCAAAGGCUCAACCUUUGAAUGUCAGUGGAUACUGCCGGGCUAGAGUCCGGAAGAGGCGAGUGGAACUCCUGGUGUAGCGGUGGAAUGCGCAGAUAUCAGGAAGAACACCGACGGCGAAGGCAGCUCGCUGGGACGGUACUGACGCUGAGACGCGAAAGCGUGGGGAGCGAACAGG